rnacentral:rRNA from 1 species
AUUGAACGCUGGCGGCAGGCCUAACACAUGCAAGUCGAACGAGUGGCGGACGGGUGAGUAAUGUCUGGGAAACUGUCUGAUGGAGGGGGAUAACUACUGGAAACGGUAGCUAUUAUCGCAUACCAUCAGAGGUGCCCAGAUGGGAGUUGCUAGUUGGUGGGGUAACGGCUCACCAAGGCGACGAUCCCUCGCUGGUCUGAGAGGAUGACCAGCCACACUGGAACUGAGACACGGUCAAGACGCCUACGGGAGGCAGCAGUGGGGAAUAUUGCACAAUGGGCGCAAGCCUUAUGCAGCCAUGCCGCGUGUAUGAAGAAGGCCUUCGGGUUGUAAAGUACUUUCAGCGGGGAGGCGUUACCCGCAGAAGAAGCACCGGCUAACUCCGUGCCAGCAGCCGCGGUAAUAC